GGCCCUGUAGCCAAGUGGUAAGGCAUGGCUCUGCAAAAGCUGGAUCGGCGGUUCAAAUCCGCCCGGGGCCUCCA
rnacentral:tRNA from 1 species